GGCGAGCAGGGAGGAAGGAGGGGGCCAGGCGAGGGAGGCGGUGCCUGGGCCCAAGCCGCCCAGCCCUGGCUCCUCUCCCCGGAACAGGCCCCCGACAGCUGCUCUAGGAGCCGCCGCCGACACUCGAGCCUCGCCGGCGCCUCUGCUCCCGCUCCUGGCUCCCGCCGCCUCCCCUCCCCUCGCCCCGUUGCCGCCACCGAGGCCCCACUCCGAGGCCGGACGCGUGGGUCUGCGGGAAGAGCGAUGAGAGAGAUGCUGCCCCAACUCCCUUAGGCCCAAGGGAUCAGGAGCUAUGAGGCCAGAGGCCCUCUCAUCUCUACUACUGUUGCUUUUCUUGGUGGCAACUGGAGAUGCUGAUAUGAAGGGACAUUUUGACCCUGCCAAGUGCCGCUAUGCCCUGGGCAUGCAGGACCGGACCAUCCCGGACGGGGACAUCUCUGCCUCCAGCUCCUGGUCAGACUCCACCGCUGCUCGUCACAGCAGGCUGGAGAGCAGCGACGGGGAUGGGGCAUGGUGCCCUGCAGGGCCAGUCUUUCCCAAGGAGGAGGAGUACCUGCAGGUGGACCUGAGGCGGCUGCACCUGGUAGCUCUGGUGGGCACCCAGGGGCGGCACGCUGGGGGCCUGGGCAAGGAGUUCUCCCCCAGCUACCGGCUGCGUUAUUCCCGGGACGGCCACCGCUGGAUGGACUGGAGGGACCGCUGGGGUCAGGAGGUAAUCUUAGGUAAUGAGGACCCUGGGGGAGUGGUGCUGAAGGAUCUUGGGCCCCCCAUGGUGGCACGACUGGUUCGCUUCUACCCCCGAGCUGACCGGGUCAUGAGCGUCUGUCUGCGAGUAGAGCUCUAUGGCUGCCUCUGGAAGGAUGGACUCCUGUCUUACACGGCCCCCGUGGGGCAGACGAUGUACUUAGCUGAGGCUGUGCACCUCAACGACUCCACCUACGAUGGACACACCACACACACUGUUGGCGGGCUGCAGUAUGGAGGUCUGGGCCAGCUGGCAGAUGGUGUGGUAGGGCUGGAUGACUUUAGGAAGAGCCAGGAACUGCGGGUCUGGCCGGGCUAUGACUAUGUGGGAUGGAGCAACCACAGUUUUCCCACUGGCUAUGUGGAGAUGGAGUUUGAGUUUGACCGGCUGAGGGCCUUUCAGGCUAUGCAGGUCCACUGUAACAACAUGCACACCCUGGGAGCCCGCCUGCCUGGCGGCGUGGAGUGCCGCUUCAAGUGGGGCCCAGCCAUGGCCUGGGAGGGAGAACCUGUGCGCCAUGCCCUGGGGGGCAGCCUAGGGGACCCUAGAGCCCGGGCUGUGUCAGUGCCCCUGGGCGGCCGCGUGGCCCGCUUUCUGCAGUGCCGCUUUCUCUUUGCUGGCCCUUGGUUGCUCUUUAGUGAGAUCUCCUUCAUCUCUGAUGUUGUGAAUGACUCCUCUCUGGCUCUGGGGGGCACCUUCCCACCAGCUCCCUGGUGGCCGCCUGGCCCACCUCCCACCAACUUCAGCAGCUUGGAGCUGGAGCCCAGGGGCCAGCAGCCCGUGGCUAAGGCUGAGGGGAGCCCGACCGCCAUCCUCAUCGGCUGCCUGGUGGCCAUCAUCCUCCUGCUGCUGCUCAUCAUCGCCCUAAUGCUCUGGCGGCUGCACUGGCGCAGGCUUCUCAGCAAGGCUGAGCGUCGGGUAUUAGAAGAGGAGCUGACGGUUCAUCUCUCUGUCCCUGGAGACACCAUUCUUAUCAACAACCGCCCAGGCCCUCGGGAGCCACCCCCUUACCAGGAGCCCCGGCCUCGUGGGAAUCCACCCCACUCUGCUCCCAGUGUGCCCAAUGGCUCUGCGUUGCUGCUCUCCAAUCCAGCCUACCGCCUCCUUCUGGCCACUUACGCCCGCCCCCCUCGAGGCCCGGGCCCCCCCACACCCGCCUGGGCCAAACCUACCAACACCCAGGCCUGCAGUGGGGACUAUAUGGAGCCUGAGAAGCCAGGUGCCCCGCUUCUGCCCCCACCUCCCCAGAACAGCGUCCCUCAUUAUGCCGAGGCUGACAUUGUCACUCUGCAGGGCGUCACCGGGGGCAACACUUACGCUGUGCCUGCGCUGCCCCCAGGGGCAGCCGGGGAUGGGCCCCCCAGAGUGGAUUUCCCUCGGUCACGGCUCCGCUUUAAGGAGAAGCUUGGUGAGGGCCAAUUUGGGGAGGUGCACCUGUGUGAGGUAGAGAGCCCUCAAGAUCUGGUCAGUCUCGAUUUUCCCCUUAAUGUGCGCAAGGGACACCCCUUGCUGGUAGCUGUCAAGAUCCUACGGCCAGAUGCCACCAAGAAUGCCAGGAAUGAUUUCCUGAAGGAGGUGAAGAUCAUGUCGAGGCUAAAGGACCCAAACAUCAUCCGGCUCUUGGGCGUGUGUGUGCAGGAUGACCCCCUCUGCAUGAUUACCGAUUACAUGGAGAAUGGUGACCUUAACCAGUUCCUCAGUGCCCACCAGCUGGAGGACAAGGCGGCUGAGGGGGCCCCUGGGGAUGAGGAAGCUGCCCAGGGACCCACUAUCAGCUACCCAAUGCUGUUGCACGUGGCAGCCCAGAUUGCCUCAGGGAUGCGCUAUCUGGCUACACUCAACUUUGUGCAUCGGGACCUGGCCACAAGGAACUGCCUGGUUGGGGAAAAUUUCACUAUCAAAAUUGCCGACUUUGGCAUGAGCCGGAACCUCUACGCCGGGGACUAUUACCGCGUGCAGGGCCGGGCGGUGUUGCCCAUCCGGUGGAUGGCCUGGGAGUGCAUCCUUAUGGGGAAGUUCACCACUGCAAGUGACGUGUGGGCCUUUGGGGUGACCCUGUGGGAGGUGCUGAUGCUCUGCCGGGCCCAGCCCUUUGGGCAGCUCACUGAUGAACAAGUCAUUGAGAACGCAGGGGAGUUCUUCCGGGACCAGGGCCGGCAGGUGUACCUGUCCCGGCCAUCUGCCUGCCCACUGGGCUUGUAUGAGUUGAUGCUUCGGUGCUGGAGCCGGGAGCCUGAGCAGCGACCACCCUUUUCCCAGCUGCAUCGGUUCUUGGCAGAAGACGCACUCAACACAGUGUGAAUCAACACCCAGCUGCCCCUCCCUCAAGGAGGAUUCAGGGGAAGCCAGGAGCACUAAACAAGAGGAGCUAAUGGCACUCCCACUUUCCCUUCCAACCACCCUUCACCUCUGAGAGAGGGGCAGUGUGAUCACAACAGAAGCCCUCGCUGCCCACCCAGCUGGCCCUGUGGAUGGGAUCCUCUUGGACCUCUUCUAGCCACCCCUUGUGGGAGGGUGGGGCAAAUACAGGGCAGACACUGGACAAAGCCCACUGGAUCACCUGGCCCCCACUGGACAACACUGGUUCCUGGAAGGAAGGCUGUGGCCUCCGCCACCCACAGCCUCUCUCCAGCACACACUGGACUCUACUGGCUGAGAAUUUGGAGAAUGAGGAGGACAAAAAAGGGAGAAAGAUCUUUCCUGUGUCUACUCCUGGAAUUGUCCUCAGCUUUGGCUUCUCCCCCUUCUCUGAAACACUGGACCUGGGGGGCGAUCCCUGCCCCCGACCCCCAGUCAUUCCCAACUUCUACCUGCCAUGUUGUAGCUAGAACUUCUCUAAGCCUAUAUGUUUCUGUGGAAUAAAUAUUGGGAUUAGGGGGAAAGAGGGAACAAUGGCCUAUGGCCCUGGGGUUGGACAUCUCUGUUGUAGCUGCCACAUUGGUUUUUCUAUAACUGCUUGGGUUUGUACAUUUUUGGGGGAAGAGAGACAGAUUUUUACACUAAUAUAUGGAUCUAGCUCAAUGUAAUUUUAAUCCCCUGCACUAGGCAGGUAAUAAUAAAGGUUGAGUUUUGCACAGCUAUGAA